UGGGGAAUAUUGCACAAUGGGCGAAAGCCUGAUGCAGCAACGCCGCGUGAGUGAUGAAGGCCUUCGGGUUGUAAAGCUCUGUCUUUUGGGACGAUAAUGACGGUACCAAAGGAGGAAGCCACGGCUAACUACGUGCCAGCAGCCGCGGUAAUACGUAGGUGGCAAGCGUUGUCCGGAUUUACUGGGCGUAAAGGAUGCGUAGGCGGAUUUUUAAGUGAGAUGUGAAAACCCUAAAGCUUAACUUGGGGACUGCAUUUCAUACUGGAAAAUCUAGAGUGCGGGAGAGGAGAAAUGGAAUUCCUAGUGUAGCGGUGAAAUGCGUAGAGAUUAGGAAGAACACCAGUGGCGAAGGCGAUUCUCUGGACCGUAACUGACGCUGAGGCAUGAAAAGCGUGGGUAGCAAAACAGGAUUAGAUACCCUGGUAGUCCACGCCGUAAACGAUGAGUACUAGGUGUAGGAGGUAUCGACCCCUUCUGUGCCGCAGUUAACACAAUAAGUACUCCGCCUGGGAAGUACGAUCGCAAGAUUAGAACUCAAAUGAAUUGACGGGGUCAUAGCUGUUUCCU
rnacentral:rRNA from 1 species